AGCCAUCUGUGAUGCCGGUGUUGUGGAAGGCUUCCAGAAGACUCAAUACCGGAUGUUGGGUGGUGGAGCCAACGAAGUCAGCCAUGGCUACACAAAGGGUGAUGGUCUUGGUGCUGAGAUUGUUGGUACCUUCGUCCUCGUCAACACCGUCUUCUCUGCAACCGACGCCAAGAGAAGCGCCCGUGACUCCUACGUCCCUGUAAGUAUCCUUUCCUCUUCUCCCACUCGUUAUGGGUGUGGUUGGUUCUUAAUUAUGCCUGUGGUCUGGGUUGAAUCCCAGUACAAUAUGUCUUUGGGUUCUUGAAAAGGUUUCUGAAA